CGCCGGGUCGCUCGCGAGUCGCCGCGGGCAGCGCCGGGCGCCGGUGUACGAGGUUCGAGGGGCCCGGCCUCCGUGCCGUGCCGCCAUGUUGCACCGUCCCCGCGGCCUCCUGAUCGGAGGGCCCGGGCAGCGGCCGCACCUGGGGCCUAGAAGAGCUCACCUUCUCGCAGAGGCUCUUGACCUGGGACUCGGAGAGCUGCUUGCACUCGUUCAGCUGCUCGAUCCACUGGUCCAGCUCCUUGGUGAACAACUUCUCGUCCAUGAUGACGCCCGCCCGCCCGAACCGGCUGCCGCUCCGCGCUGCUCCCGCGCCGCCGCCCGCACCCGGGCCACACGCACACGCCGCCGCCGCUCCCCGGGGUGCUUCCUGCGGCCCCUGGCGGCUGCUAGGCGCUGGCGCCGGCCCGCUGGCUCGCUCCGCAGUGCUGGGCCGCCGGCCGCUGUGCCUCCUCCUCCGCUCGCCCUAGCUCGGGACUCGGCUUUCUGUAAUGGCGGCCGCCCGGCGUGGUGACGUCACGCCGGCGUCGGGGGCCGCGGGGAGGGCGUCGGAGCCGGGCCCGGACCCGAAGCGGCGCACCUUGAGGCCCAGGCGCAGGCGCAGCGGAGCUGGCUGCCAAAGGAAGUGCCUUCGAUUUCGGGGCGUGGUCCUCCCGCGGGGAGGGCGGCGGGGGAAGGGAAGAACGGAGUUGGAGCAAGCGCAGUGCUCGAAGCGGCGAACCCUGUUAAUCCCGGAGCUCCAGGCUCCGAAAGACGCCUGCGCGGACUCCGCGCAUGAGCAGUCCGAGUAGGCGAGGGCUGGCUCUCCGUGACCUGGUCUCUCUGCUGCCGGGUGACACCUCUCAGAUGUGGUCUUGGGCCUGGCGGCCUGAUCACUGAAACAACAGUCACAACACUAAGGCGCGUAGUCCUGCAGCCCUGGGAACCGCAUGAGAGUCCCACAUCUUUGAAGACUAGAACUGACGCCUAGUGGCAGGCUGCCUGGAGUGACCUUCCCCACCUCUGGGCGUUGCAGGCUGCUGUAAUUAGGUCAUUCGUAGGCGGGGGAAGGUGUACCUGCUUGAGUGUGUCACUCGCUCAGCUGACACCCCCAGCAGACACCUGUCCCAGCGCGAUGGAGGGGCCGAGGCCAGGCCAUCGAUCCUGGCCUCGUCCCGAGCCUAGCUUCCUCUCCUGGGGCCUUCCGCAGCUCCGGUGUGCACUUUUCUCCAAGUCCCGCGCCCACUGUAAAUGAUCCUGGCCUACUUUCUAGAGGACAAGCCGGUAGAACGUGAACAUAUCGGUCCUGGCUGCGUUCUAGUGCUGGGAGAAGCAGCUACAGGAAAGGAAGCUGAUACUCAAGGAUUGGCCCUUGACCUGGUUAUUGAAUCUCUUUGGGGUUUGCGAAACAUUUUCACAUUGUACUGUCCCUGCACUUACAGAGAUACUUGGCUCCACAGAGCGCCAGCUGUUUAACCAGAUCCCAUGUCUAGAGGAUAGAGGGGUCAUGCAGACAAACAAGGGCUGCUGCCCUAGUGGAGCUUGAGUACCAGGGAAAUGGAUGGAAUGGACACAAGUUAUACACUGCUCUCCCCGAGCUCGAGAGGUAUAGAAGUCAAAGGAUGGUUAACCAUGAAGGGCAAGGCAAGAGCUGAUCUUCCAAGCUCUACUGUGGGGAGCAGUCAAACCUGAUCAUGCUGGGCAAGACACAGCUCUGAGGGCAUCACCCUGACCCACAAGCUAAGAGAGGGCCUCAGUGGCCCCAUCCACAAACGGCAGGGCUGAAAAUCCUCCUUUAUCAAGGACAACCUGCUUGGCCAGGUGAACUGGCUUGACCAGUUCUGCUUUUCCUGGGUAACUCCCUCUAGUGUGCCUGAAGAAAGUACCCGAGAUCUACUUUUCUAGAAGCUUACUUACAUACUUGUUCUGCCAGAGUGGAGAAAGGUAAUUUCAGCUCAAAUUCUGACUGGAUUGCAGUGAACAACGCCAAAUAGCAGACGGAGGUGUAAGAGUUAAAGACUGUG